rnacentral:rRNA from 1 species
GAUGAACGCUGGCGGCGUGCCUAAUACAUGCAAGUCGAGCGAACAGACGAGGAGCUUGCUCCUCUGACGUUAGCGGCGGACGGGUGAGUAACACGUGGAUAACCUACCUAUAAGACUGGGAUAACUUCGGGAAACCGGAGCUAAUACCGGAUAAUAUAUUGAACCGCAUGGUUCAAUAGUGAAAGACGGUUUUGCUGUCACUUAUAGAUGGAUCCGCGCCGCAUUAGCUAGUUGGUAAGGUAACGGCUUACCAAGGCAACGAUGCGUAGCCGACCUGAGAGGGUGAUCGGCCACACUGGAACUAAGACACGGUCCAGACUCCUACGGGAGGCAGCAGUAGGGAAUCUUCCGCAAUGGGCGAAAGCCUGACGGAGCAACGCCGCGUGAGUGAUGAAGGUCUUCGGAUCGUAAAACUCUGCUAUUAGGGAAGAACAAAUGUGUAAGUAACUAUGCACGUCUUGACGGGACCUAAUCAGAAAGCCACGGCUAACUACGU